GACGAGGGGUCCAAGCGUUGUUUCGGAAUCACUGGGCGUAAAGGGCGCGUAGGUGGCGUCGCAAGUCGAUGGUGAAAGCUCGGCGCUCAACGCCGAGUCGGCCCUUGAUACUGCGAGGCUGGAGCACUGUAGAGGCUAAUGGAAUUCCGGGUGUAGCGGUGGAAUGCGUAGAGAUCCGGAAGAACGACCGGUGGCGAAGGCGGUUAGCUGGGCAGUUGCUGACACUGAGGCGCGGACGAGCGUGGG
rnacentral:rRNA from 1 species